rnacentral:rRNA from 1 species
UACGUAGGGUGCGAGCGUUGUCCGGAAUUAUUGGGCGUAAAGAGCUCGUAGGCGGUUUGUCGCGUCGGCCGUGAAAUCUCCACGCUUAACGUGGAGCGUGCGGUCGAUACGGACAGACUGGAGUACUGCAGGGGAGACUGGAAUUCCUGGUGUAGCGGUGGAAUGCGCAGAUAUCAGGAGGAACACCGGUGGCGAAGGCGGGUCUCUGGGCAGUAACUGACGCUGAGGAGCGAAAGCGUGGGGAGCGAACAGG